CGUAGGGGGCGAGCGUUAAUCGGAAUUACUGGGCGUAAAGCGUGCGCAGGCGGUUUUGUAAGCCGGAUGUGAAAUCCCCGGGCUUAACCUGGGAAUGGCAUUCGGGACUGCAAGGCUGGAGUGCGGCAGAGGAGACUGGAAUUCCUGGUGUAGCAGUGAAAUGCGUAGAUAUCAGGAGGAACACCGAUGGCGAAGGCAGCCCCCUGGGCUGACACUGACGCUCAGGCACGAAAGCGUGGGGAGCAAACAGG
rnacentral:rRNA from 1 species